rnacentral:misc_RNA from 1 species
GGAUCAAUGUUAUACGGCUCUAUUGUCCUUCCAAUAUAAGUACUAAAUCAAGGAGAGAGCAUAACACAUCUUUGUCAGAUAUAUGAGACACUGCAAGAGACUUUUAAGGUAGCGCAAUAUAGAAUUGAUAUUAAACGAGAUACUGGUUGUAGGCUAUGUUUUAAUUUCUAUUGCGAGAGACAAGAACAGCUAAAAGGGAAGCAUUUCGCCGAUCAGAGAGUAAAAGGGAACAAUACAAUAAUAACAACACGGAGUUAUCGAGACGCUGAGGAGUUAGGAACAUUUCUCCAGAAAAAUUAUGCCGUCAGUACCUGCUACUCCGACAAUGGCCUACUUGAAUGUAACAACAGGUUUUCCGAUGAAUGCCAAUACGACCAACAUAACCGGACAAUUUAUCCCUCGUUUCGUUUCACAAUCGGAUGCCGAGGGUAGAUUGGAACGUCAGCUUGCCAUUUCCUUGACUCUUUGUUUGCUUGCAGUUUGUGCAAACAUUCUCUCAAUAGCAGCGGUGUUGCACAUUCCGGGACGAUGGAACUAUAAUAACCUGUUGAUUAUAAAUCUAUCUGUUGCUGAUGCAUUCGGUGCGAUAUCGCACCUUUUGGAUGUCGUUAGCAGAUGUUUUAUUAUGUGGUAUAGUCAGCGAGUACCAACAGAGGCUAUUAUGUAUAUCAUAAUGAGCGGCAUUGUAUUUUUCGUUUUCUUUUACUUUGCUUCGGCACUGACACUCCUAGUAGCGGCUAUUCAUAGAUACAUAGCGAUUUGCUCACCGUUGAGCUACAAUGACUUGUGUACGAAAAACAAAACCUUGAUUGCCCUAGUUUGCAUAUGGUGCGUCUCGGGGCUAUUUGCACUACCAGGAUACUGUGCAACUGCGUACGCAUAUUCUGGUAAAGAUGACAGCUGUUACAUAUGGAAUUACGUAUGGCCACCACCCAUCGUAGCGAUCGUUUUCUCAAUGGUUAUUUUGUAUUGCAUGGUCAUUGUGCGCCUGCGCAGACGAGCCGCCAUAUUGCGCUCCGAGCACCAAGUGGAACAGAACUAUCAAUGGUUCCUUAGCACUGUUAUUAUGGCAUCGAUUCUGGUAAUAUCAUUCAUUCCCUACGUUUUAACCAAGGUCCUUCGGAUACACUUUAGCCGUCAAAUGGAUAUUGUGUACAGUGAAUUUCUGUACUUUUUCCCGUUCUUCCAUUUCAUAAUUGAUCCGCUGGUUUAUGGAUUGAGGACAAAAGAUAUGAAUGAAGGCUACCAGCAAUUAUCAUCAAGAGUACUUAGAUGGAGAAGUUCACGGCAUUCUACUAACAACCAUAGCAAUACGCCAUCAUCCGUAUCAAGAUCUACCCAAAGUACUCCGUUUCCAUGUUACAACUAUGAACAAAGUACCACAAUAGUGAGAAAACCAACUCAUGAUGACGUCACUAUGGAAACGGAUGUUUAGAAAAAAUCCAGCAGUUUAGAAAUCAAACCAUAGUCAUGAUGACAGGAAAAUAAUGUUUUAAUAUAAAUUAAUAAAUACGAUUUGAUCACCAACUCAAGGAUGUUUAAUGGAAAUAUAGAUCUAAAGUAUUCACGACGACAUUAAUACAUAAUUGCAAGUUAUCGCGGGAAAGAGGUAUCCUAUUAUAUUGUAUAUAACCUUACCCUGCGUGCAGAGUCUAGUUAAACUACAAGACGAAGCUCUCUUUUAAGAAGUGAAGUCAAACGAAUGUAAAGGGUAAUAUAACCUUUGAUUUUUAGUGAAAAUUUGUGCUCAGCGUCUUUUGUAAAUUAUAUGAUAUGUAGAGAUAGUAAAACGAAAACGUAUUAAGUGAGAACAAAUCUCUGAAAGUAUUCAGAGUGUUGGGUGAAGAACGUACAAAAUUUGUGCCUAAGACUGUAUUAUUCGUUUAGAGGAAAUACGCUUUUCUGUAUUUAACGAGAAAUCAUUGAUAACGUAAACAUUUUAAUAUCAAAUGCUAUUUUAUCUCGACAAAUAUAUGACUAGGCGACAGCAAGGGAGAUAAUCAUACCAACGACGUCAGUGUCUUAUAUGGAUUCCGUAUAUCAUGUUGCAGGUUGCUCUGUAUUAGGAGGGUUAAGGAAAACGUUUUACUUGUUCGCGGUCUUCUUGGAGUUAAUUCUCCCCUUCAUAAUAUUUAGUUGCCCCAUUGAGUAUGAAGGUAUAACAAGAGUUUUUAUCCAUAGGUUUCUGAAAAACCAUUGAGAGGGGGAGUGGGCAAAUUCCUUUAAAACGUGAAAUGAUAAUCUUAGAUUAUCCGUAACACAUGAUCUCUCAGAAUUGUUGAGAAUAGAACAGCAAAACGUUAAGAGAAAACAUUGUGGGCAUGUAUGUUAUUAAUGUUGUAUUAAAGAGACCAGCAUCAUAUCACCCUGAGAAAAAUGGUUCGUCUGAGCGAGCGAAAUGUGAAAUUGUAAGUGUACGUGUCUAAUUCCAGUCGAUCAGAGCACGCUAUUUCACAUACCUGCAUUGCAAUAUAAUUCUCUAAUGCACUCAAGUUCAUUUUUAGAUUCUAGUGAAACUAAUGAAACAGAUAACUGAUAAAUUCUAAAGAUGAGUAAAAAUAUAUAAGUAGUAUCAAAGAGAAUAACAAGUCAAGUGCCUAUGCCUAGGCCACAUUUGCUCCGAUUCAUCAGCCGGCCGAUUGAGUAUUUUGUUCAAAACUGAGGGUCAAAUCUCAAAUUUGAGGUCAGAUGGGACC